UCUUCGAUACGGCAACCAGCAUCACUAACCACUAACCCGGUUGAGCCGCUGGAUUUUCAAACAGACUUUACUUAUGUUCAAAAAAUCAUGUUAAUUCAACUAUUACGUAUCUUCAAACGGACGAUACUCAUGCUUGUGUUUGACGUUUAACUACCGACCAUCUGUAGCACCACAGGUUGCCUCUUCAAUCUAUAAUGCAAUCCUACUAACGCCCUAGUAAAGCCAUGCACUUCCCUUUUACAACCUUUAUAAUCUCCUAGUGCAGCCUCGUGGGGCUCCAGGGAGCUUUUGCUGUAGUUAGAUGAAGACGUGGAACACAUACCUGUUUACCUCUGUUAUACACCAGGCGUUCCAGUCCUCCGUAACCUACCUACCUCUUUGAAACUUUGGCAACCAUUCUUGCAUGAAGUUAAUGAACGAGACAACAACAACCAGAGACAUUCAUUAUGUUUAUGAGACUGGUGGAAAGAUUCAAAUUCGAUGAUCUGGACAUCAAUGAAGAUAGGUUUUCGGAAUCUUUCAAAAAUUUUCUAUGGAGUAAUUAGAAAAGUAUUAUUAAAAACAGGAACACUUCUUCAGUCAUCUGAUUCGAGACUACACCGCCUGUGAAAUUUUUUCCUUCAAUCUUCUUUGAACAACCUUAUUUGUCAAGAGAAAAGAACAUCGGAAGCAAAGACAUUUCUAGGAAACAAAAAACCAAAGCGAUAGAAAAGUAAAAGAAAAGGGCAAAAAAUUGGAUAACUAAAAAGAUCAGUUCAAAAAUACUUUUUUUAAUCCAACAGGUGGAGCAUACAACCUUGUUUUCCUGUAUUGAUCAAACCGCCAUAAGUAUUCUGAUUGGAAGAGAUAAACGAAACUGUCACUAUAAAAAGAAAGAAGAGGGCGAUGUCCAAAGAACCUCCUUGAUAACCUCUCUCGAGUAAAGUGAAUGUUUAGAAUUUUAUUUCAAAUACCUGAAAUAAAAUACAAUAGAAUUGUACUACAGGAACAGUUUCCCUUCUUAGAAUCUUUAAAAAUUUCUUUCAUAUUAUCUCCAAAAGUUGAAGGUUAGAAUGUAAACGUUAAUUCCAGUAUUGUGGAUAAUAACAUGCAAGAAUGUAGAGUUAUAUGAAAUUUAUUAUAAAUUUAUCAUAUUCCAUAAAAGUUAUCAAUAUCAUAUGUAUUGAACUGUUGCCUUUAAUGUUUUUAACUUAUUUUGGAUGUUUAUAUCUACAAAGAUGUGCUAUAAAUUUGAAUUUGCAGAAUUUAGUUUAUUGUUCCAGUUACCAGUAAACUGCAUAUAAAAUUGUAGAAGUAAAACCACGGUUUGUUGCUAUCUGUUCUCCUUUUAUUUUUAUUUCUUAAACAU